CUCUGCUUGUGUGAGGGCCUUAUGGGCUUCCUAAAGAUGGUACCAGAGGGGAGUCUGCAAGAUGGUGUCUGAUAUGGAAGUGCAUCUGAAGGAAAGGUUUGGAACUGAAUUCCUCCAUGAGACAUGAUACCAUGACCAUGCCAGAGAAAAUCGCCUCAUACCAAGAUGAGCCUUGGCAAGUCUUCAGGCCCAACACCUUAAGGUCACUUGUGUUGCCAAGAUGCCAAGAGAACUAUUGGAAACUUGGGGAACACAGUAGGCAUUGCAGCUGACUGAUUUUAUUUGGGAAUUCUA